GAUGAACGCUAGCGGGAGGCUUAAUACAUGCAAGUCGAGGGGUAACAGGGGCUUCGGCCCGCUGACGACCGGCGCACGGGUGAGUAACGCGUACGCAACUUACCUCCAAGCGAGGGAUAGCCCUGGGAAACUGGGAUUAAUACCUCAUGUGAUUAUGAUGCCGCAUGGUGUUAUAAUUAAAGUUCAGGCGCUUGGAGAUGGGCGUGCGUCCUAUUAGCUAGUUGGUGAGGUAACGGCUCACCAAGGCGACGAUAGGUAGGGGGCGUGAGAGCGUGGCCCCCCACACGGGUACUGAGACACGGACCCGACUCCUACGGGAGGCAGCAGUAAGGAAUAUUGGACAAUGGGCGCAAGCCUGAUCCAGCCAUCCCGCGUGCAGGAUGACAGCCCUACGGGUUGUAAACUGCUUUUGUUAGGGAAGAAACCCCUCGAUUUAUCGGGGGCUGACGGUACCUUUCGAAUAAGCACGGCUAACUCCGUGCCAGCAGCCGCGGUAAAGU
rnacentral:rRNA from 1 species